GUCGAGCGAACAGACGAGGAGCUUGCUCCUCUGACGUUAGCGGCGGACGGGUGAGUAACACGUGGAUAACCUACCUAUAAGACUGGGAUAACUUCGGGAAACCGGAGCUAAUACCGGAUAAUAUAUUGAACCGCAUGGUUCAAUAGUGAAAGACGGUUUUGCUGUCACUUAUAGAUGGAUCCGCGCCGCAUUAGCUAGUUGGUAAGGUAACGGCUUACCAAGGCAACGAUGCGUAGCCGACCCGAGAGGGUGAUCGGCCACACUGGAACUGAGACACGGUCCAGACUCCUACGGGAGGCAGCAGUAGGGAAUCUUCCGCAAUGGGCGAAAGCCUGACGGAGCAACGCCGCGUGAGUGAUGAAGGUCUUCGGAUCGUAAAACUCUGUUAUUAGGGAAGAACAAAUGUGUAAGUAACUAUACACGUCUUGACGGUACCUAAUCAGAAAGCCACGGCUAACUACGUGCCAGCAGCCGCGGUAAUACGUAGGUGGCAAGCGUUAUCCGGAAUUAUUGGGCGUAAAGCGCGCGUAGGCGGUUUUUUAAGUCUGAUGUGAAAGCCCACGGCUCAACCGUGGAGGGUCAUUGGAAACUGGAAAACUUGAGUGCAGAAGAGGAAAGUGGAAUUCCAUGUGUAGCGGUGAAAUGCGCAGAGAUAUGGAGGAACACCAGUGGCGAAGGCGACUUUCUGGUCUGUAACUGACGCUGAUGUGCGAAAGCGUGGGGAUC
rnacentral:rRNA from 1 species